CCUACGGUGGGCUGCAGUGGGGGAUAUUGCACAAUGGGGGAAACCCUGAUGCAGCGACGCCGCGUGUGGGAAGACGGUCCUCUGGAUUGUAAACCACUGUCCCCAGGGACGAAGAUGACGGUACCUGGGGAGGAAGCUCCGGCUAACUACGUGCCAGCAGCCGCGGUAAGACGUAGGGAGCGAGCGUUGUCCGGAAUUACUGGGUGAAAAGGGAGCGUAGGCGGGGAUGCAAGUGGUGUGUCAAAACUACCGGCUCAACUGGUAGUCGCACUCAAAACUGCAGCUCUUGAGUGAAGUAGAGGCAGGCGGAAUUCCUAGUGUAGCGGUGAAAUGCGUAGAUAUUAGGAGGAACACCAGUGGCGAAGGCGGCCUGCUGGGCUUUUACUGACGCUGAGGCUCGAAAGUGUGGGGAGCAAACAGGAUUAGAUACCCCAGUAGUC
rnacentral:rRNA from 1 species